CCAAUCCUCACCCCGGCAGAUGGGGUCAUGCGCGUUGCCGCCGCACCUGUUUCGGCACCCCUCACAGCCCCCCACUCCCCUGCCUUGCCUAUAAAUAGCUUUUUGGCAAGCUUUUCCUUUGCCUAAAUUAGUAAUAGGGUAGGUGGAAAUGUCACCCCUUUCCACAAUUCCUUUGGGAGUGCUGGGGAAGGUGCAGAGGUGUGUAAGGAUAUAAUUAAGUGUUGGGUGUUUUUUUUUUUUCUUGAAGUCAGACAAGCUAUGUCUUUGCCUUCCUCUUCAUUUUUCCCAAUUCCUAUUUGAUUAUUUGAAAUGCAUUCAGCUAUGUCAUAAGAAGGAUUUUUUUUGUUUCCCUAAACCAAUAGGGAAGGCAAGGGAUUUUUUUUUUUUUUUUUACUCCUUUUAGUGAGGCUGUUCAGAGAAAGGAAUAUGCAGGGGGUGAUAAGUGAAUCCAUCUGGACCAUUAUCUUUUGAACCUUUCGGAGGAAUUUUUUGAACAGCUAAUUCUUUAUACAUAGAUACAAAGUCAUAAAAUAUUAGCUAUCCAGAGGGCCUCCUUCUCUACAGUUUACUCAUGUAAGGUAACACUUUUUAAGCUUUGGAGUCUGUAGAGCUGAUCCUUGCAUCAUGAUCUUGUACUGCUGGAUAUGUGUGUGGCAUACGAGUGCUGGAGCAGAGCUUGCUCCCUGGCCGAAGGACUGAAGAAGGGUUUUGUGGCCUAAAAUUUUGUGUUUUUCUUACCCCAGCUAUGGCUGUUGAUCUAACAAAAGAUGUCACUUUCCCCUGCAAAGCUAUUUUAUGUUCACCAGCCACAAGAUCGAGGUCCAGAGCUUUGAUAAAAUGAGCUGAUCAUGAAUAAACACAGACUGCAAAUUAGAAGGUUAUUAACUGCCAGAGGUGUAAGAUUCUGGAAAUCUCACAGUGAAGAUGUUGAAGGCAAGAAAAUAAAUUGGUUUUAAGGAAGAGCCUGGUAAAUUUGUCAAUGGGAUUAUAGCAAAUGAUCUUUUCCAGUUUAUUAUGCUGUCUUAAUUCUGUGUGCUUAAUGAAUAGACCUCAGCCAGUGUUUCCACUAUAGUUAUUUAUGGUCAACAUUAGUACAAGAUUUGACUGUUCCUGGAGACAUCACUUGCAAAUUAUACUUUCAUCAUCAUUUCCAAGGUAACUACGUAAAAUAAUCGCUCUAGAGAAAUUCUGAGCUUGAAUUCUUGAAUAUGAAGGAGACAUGACUCUCGGGGAAGUUAAUUUCCAGCAGCUGCCCAUCACUUUAAGCACAGCAUGGGGAGUCACCACAUCAGCCUCUCAGCUGGUGCAUAUUGUCAUUCUGCACUGAAAUGGAGCAGUGCUAAUUUACAUGAACUGAAAAUUCAACCUAAGAUUAGCCCUCUGCUCCAAGUUUUUAUGCCAUUUAUUGUGUUUCUCUUCUGCCCAUGAGCUGGGAAGGUGUCUUGGGUAAGAAAGCAAACAGUGGGUUACUUCAGUGUUUAUUUUACUACAUUGGACCUUAUGUACUAGGCAAAAACUGGGAGACUUGGAAGUUGUAUGCAAGUUAGGAGGGGACACUGGUCUCUGCUACCUCUGAUCCACUCCUCUGUGCACUGGAGUCAUGCUAAUCCAAAUAUUUUGGGAACGUGCCAUCCCUGAGAUCACCGCGUUAGGUUGCUAAGAGAGUCCUUCUCCAAGGCUUUGGAGGCUGCUCAUCUCUUGACAAUGCAAAAACAGUCAUACCUGCUCUGGAGGAAGGAGAGGUAAUGUCUAAUCUUGCUCCCCACUCAAUUGAAUCUUGUGGCCAAUGUAGAGUCUACUGAUGGAUGAAGGAGAGGAAGUAAAAACUCUAAGGUAGUUUGGAAAAUGAAGAAGGAUGGAGAAAGAAUAAGGUUUGAAAUAAGUGUUCAAGCUUUUCACAGCAAGCAGGCAGUGAAGAAGCUGAGCUAUUAAGGUAUGUUGUUGAUGUGUGAUGAUUCACCCAGCACUCCAAAAUAUUCUGACAGUUUUUCAGGUAUGUUUGACAGACUCUUCAAAAUCAGUCUGAAUAGGUAAUAAACAGAACAACAGAGGGAAGUUUUCCUUUUCUUGCUCUUAAAAGCUCAUCCUUGGCCAUGCUGCUUCAUUCUGAGCUUGUCAGGGCUAAGCCAGCUCUCAGAUUUUGAGGUUUCCUGGUGCUCUGCCCCUUGCUACCCUGCUGUCUAUGAAAUUCCCAGGCUACAAUCCUCCCACUCCACCACAUUCUAUCUGCCUGUUGGAGAAACUGUCUGUCCCAAUGGGAUUUCACGAGGGAAAACAGAAGCCUGUUGCAUUGGUAUAGCUGUUAAAAAGGAGCCUCAAGAGAACAAAGAAUUCAGCUGGGUGAGAAAAGCAGGCAACCACAGGCUUCCUGUUUUUAGCUUUUAUGUGUUGUUUGACCCUACCAUGCCACCUGUGUGGGGUGCAUUUCUGAGCAGGUUGUCUCUUAAACACUUCUACCAAUUCUAAAUGUUUCCAAAGAUUUUUCUGCUCUUUUCUGCAUUCUCAGCAUUCCUUCGCAGCUUCUAACUGACUCUUCUUCCUCGCUGUUUCCACUUGCACUGUCCUGGUUCCUGCAUGACUAGUUCCUGCUAGGUGCUUCAGUGCAGCCCCUGUCAGAACAUCGUGCUGCACUUUAAUUUCCUGUGUCACUCAUACGGGACUUGGCGUAUUCUGGGCUGCAGCCUUUCAGCUUCCGCUUGAAAGCGUCUUGCCACAGAGUCUGCAGCGGGUAGCUUGUCCUCUGAGUUAUUUUGGCUUCAAUUUGGGUUAUUUUGAGAUCUGUUUUAAAGAAACAGAGCAUAUCAGUUUUGAACCUCAUAUAGGAUUUAUAUAUAAAAUAUAUACUCUAGUAUACACUCUAUUUCGAUAACACCUAAGAAAAAACAGGGUGCUUCAGUGUGUUGGAGUUACUUAUCCUGAUACAAUCCUGGGGUAAGAGACAGUUAAGUACACGCAGCAGGGUGUGCAGGGCUAAGGCUUUGUAUUUUAGAAAGGAAAUGCUAUAAAUAGAAGACAAGUUAAUGAAUACACAUUUCUCUUCUUCCGCUCUUUGUGGUUCUCUUAAUACCUGUGUUGCUACUCUUUUAGCCAUGCUAAAUAUGUUCAGUACUGUGGUAAGAACAGAGCCCAUGUUGCCUUUUUGUGCUCCCCUCGUCUGCCUUGGCUAGAGGUAGCUGAAGAAAAGGACAAAACGCUCCCUUCCCUAGGAGUGAGCUGCCUGCCUCCGUGGGCACCGUGACGUGGCUAUGGGAUCCACAUCGGGGAGCAGAACAAUUGCCUCCCAUUUCCCGGAACUGGUGUACUCUCAGGGCUACUCUUGCUGUUUGAUCUCAUUUCAGGGGCACGGAGGUGCAUCUGCCACAGCUGCAAGAUGCCAGGAGCAGCUCACCAGACCAGCUCUGCCCCCAAGAAGGGGAUAGUUCCAGUGACAGGGGAAGCUCAUUUCUUACCUCUGCUCGAGUCAGCCUGAGGAAGGGGUUCAUUCUGCUCAGCCACCUCCCAGUUCAAGGACUGGUGCCAUCUGGAGCUGGCAGUGGGACAGCCAGGCUGAGCCCUCCAGCCAUGCCUAUUUCUGCCUAUUGACAUGGGCCACAACAGUGACAGCAUGAACUGCGACUCGUGUAACUUGAAGAUCUCCGGAGAGAGAUCCUCGGCAGGGAGAUGAUCUUCACUGAAUAAAUUAAGUUGCUGUGGAGGCAUUUUAUAUAUAAAUUUCAUUCUCUAGGUGGAUUUACUAUGUGGCUGACAUUUGUAAGACUAGUUUUGUUGUUAAGAGACAGACAGAAAAAUGAUACCUAUCUUCAAUUUUGCCCAAAGCUUGUUAAAGCCACACCAUACAUGGACUGGUUACUUUCAUUACCAGUUUUAUUUUGGUUUUUUUUUUGUUUUUGUAAUAGGUUAAAACUUUGUCACACACUCUGUGUUCAUAUUGAAAUUUCCCAUGCUGAGUGACUGCCUCAGGCUAAUGGGUUUUAGUAAGUUCUUGCUAAAAUAAGUUGAGUACUUGUAAUGAGUUUAGCAAAAAAUCCCUGUUUUGAUAAUAGAGCUAUACAAUUCAUUUAUUUGUAGCUUGCUUUGGAAAAAAAAAAUCCACAAAAUUAGACUUACCCAGCAAGCUGCAUUAAAAGAAUGUUAACAUUGCAGAAUUAACACAUCUAUGAGCUAGGUGCCCUGUGUAAAAACAUUUUCCGUUUAUCAUGUAAUUAAUGACUGUGUUGUAACACACAAACGGAAAGGGUUGAUAGCUUUUUAAAGUCUUAAAAUGGAUUUUAAGAAAUGUUCCUUCAACUGGAUUUUUGUGGAUGUGAUCUUUUCAAAGAAGCUGUAUUUGGAAUUUAGAACAUAGUUCACGGUGGUAGAAUUACUAAUCAUUAACCUUGAUUUAUUUGACUGCAGUAUGAGGUACAAACAACAAUCAGGGGAAUAAAAAUUUUUGGCAUUUAAAGAAUGAAAAAAAUGUUAAAAUUGAGUAAUAUGCUGUGAGAAAACAUCCUUUAAUGUGAGGAAUUAUCCAGAUAUGUGAGACUGUGGGUUGUUUGGGGCAGGAUGGGGGACACAGAGCAGGACAGAAUCAAGUUUAUUUUGUUGCAGUUCUGCUUGCUUGCAAUAACACAAGGAGUCACUGUCUUUGCAUCGGGGCCCAGUCAAUCUUAGCUCAAGUGCUCUGCCAAUUAGUUUUUCUCGAAGUUCUCUUCUGAGCAUGUAUAAGCAAUAUUUUCCAAUUCCUACCCAUACAUUCUCUUUUCCUUCUGUUCCAGGUACAAAAUCUUGUUCUUACAGUUCACAUUUGGGCAUCCUUAACUUUUACUUAGAGGCUGAGUUUUCUUUUGUGGCUGUUCUCUGAUGGACUGAAAGAAAAAAAAUACAACCUAUCUAAAAUGUAUUUCAACUGGAAUGUAUUGGCUUUCUCUCCUGCUUCAAAUCUCUUCUCAAAACUCAGCUCUUCAGCCGGCAUUCCCUUGUUAAUCUCCAGUCUUAUGUUACUCAGGGAAACUGACUGCUUUUGAUCACAUUAGAUUGUUAAACAAAAGGUCAAGUAAACAAAGUCUCAAGCAUCCUGAGAAGUUAACCCAAGGUGACAAGUUGAACGAUCAAAGUACUGAACUCCUACGUGCUAAAAAAUGAGGAAUGUUCCAUCACUUUCUCUCUUUUUCACUUGCAUUAUCACUUCGUUUUCCUCCCCUAGGCUGUGAUUCAUUUAACUGGCAGUCUAAAAGAUACGUGUGGAGUGUAAGGCUUGAUAUUUAGCUACAUCUCUUACCAGUGGGGAGAGAGAGGCCUCACCACGGAGUGAUUCAUCCCAUCCUAAGAUAGGUGAAAUCAUCUCUUUUCAUCAACUGUAGAGGGAACCUAAAACUCACUUAGACUCCAUAUCUAAUUUUUAGAUUGCUAAAAUUAGGUGAGAUGAAGCUCAUCCUAAGGUUGUUGUUGAGGUUAGUUGUUUGGAGAAGAUUCUAAUUGUCUUAAGCUGGGAGUCUUGGUUUCUAUCUGUGGCACAUCAUGAUUAGCAGUGAUGGCAAAUGCCUCAGAACAGCCUAUGCCAUAAUUAGCACGUUCUUGUAUACUGCUUCAUUGAGGAACCUCAGUCAUUUCAAAGGGAAGAACAGUCACAUCAUGCACAUGUGGGAGAAGUGAUUUCCACUUGGGUGACAGUUUAGUUCACAACUUGUGACAGAAUAGGUUUCAGUACUGAGAAGGAAUGGGAAAAUACUGACUUUUCAUUCAAACUGCAGAAGUGAGGUCUAGGUGGAAAGUGAUUUUAUGUUUUGGAAGAAAGAGAAGCGUUUUUUCAACAUUUUAAAAUCACACAAUAUAUGUGCUGUUAUAAUUUUUUUUCUGCCUUAAAAUUAGAGCUGAGGGUGGAGUAAACGUAGGGUUCACGAAGACAGCAUGCAAUUUAGCUGGGUUUCAGGCACCUAAUUUGAAGAAAAUGAGUCAUGAAAACUAACUGUGCGGCUGAUGGAGAGCUUAUAGUGUUUAAACUUUCAUUAGGAAAACUUCCAGAAAAUUUACCUGUCUUUCUCCUAUUGAUCUCAAUCACAGGUGCUACCAUCUUGAUUAAAAGGGAUAGAUAUGUACCUGGAUCACACGUCCAGUUGCGACAAGGGAAGGAAGUGUCCCAACUCUUAAAUCCACUGCAAGACUUCACCUGGUACCUUCAGAGCAGACCCGACCCACAGGAUGAGCCAUGCACCCCUCCCAGAGUGCUGCAGCAGAGCUUUGCAGGCACCUACUUAAGAAAAAUGUAGCACUGGUAUAUUAAAUGGUUUCAGAGCAAUAAACUGUUUACCUUUAACUUUCCCAUUCUGCCCAAACCCCUCAAACCAACAAUGUAAUCUUAAUAUAUUUACAAGAUUGUGGGGGGGUUUGGGUGCCUCUCUUCUCUGUCUUUUACACAGCAGCCAGUUGGCUGGUUUGCUUUUAAUAUGUCUCUUCUAGGGAAUAUUCUUAGCUCUUAAGGACUGCUAAAUGAAAUUAAUAAUAGAAAGUGGCAGUCAGUCAAAUAGAGGAAUAUAAUGUGGCUAAUGGAAAACUACCGGGAAGGGUGAUUAAAGGGUAUGUUUUCUUUUGAGGAAGGAUGUCUUGUCUUCUGAUUGGGAACCUUUGUUGGUUUGGUCGGGUAGCAGCUAAUCCCAUUUCUUGUGGCAUGGCGUAGUCAUAACAGGGCGAGCUUUUGAACUGUGUCUGCUUGUUGGUUGCAUUCUUUGCGCUUAGAGCUGGGUUUUGGCAUACCUCAACCAAGACUCCCUGUCUCCUUUUUUGACAGCGUGGACCAGAUUCCUUCAUGAUAUGCCAUUGAUGCUGGUGGCCCUUUGGUGCAAAGCCAUGUGAAAUAUUUUAACGUGUUUCAUUCAUAACCUAAAAACAUGUGCCUACAUCAGAGGUGCUGCAAAAUAAAGUAACAACAGGUUUUUAUAGCA